rnacentral:rRNA from 1 species
CUUUAACCGGAGGAUAGCCCCGAGAAAUCGGGAUUAAUACUCCAUAACAUUAUGAAGAGGCAUCUCUUUAUAAUUAAAGCUCCGGCGGUUUUAGAUGGGCAUGCGUGACAUUAGCUAGUUGGUGAGGUGACGGCUCACCAAGGCUACGAUGUCUAUGGGUUCUGAGAGGAUUAUCCCCCACACUGGUACUGAGACACGGACCAGACUCCUACGGGAGGCAGCAGUAAGGAAUAUUGGGCAAUGGACGCAAGUCUGACCCAGCCAUGCCGCGUGAAGGAUGACGGCCCUAUGGGUUGUAAACUUCUUUUGUACGGGAAAAAACCCCUGGUCGUGAACCGGGGCUGAUGGUACCGUAAGAAUAAGCAUCGGCUAACUCCGUGCCAGCAGCCGCGGUAAUACGGAGGAUGCAAGCGUUAUCCGGAUUCAUUGGGUUUAA